AUUGAACGCUGGCGGCAGGCCUAACACAUGCAAGUCGAGCGGAUGAAGGGAGCUUGCUCCUGGAUUCAGCGGCGGACGGGUGAGUAAUGCCUAGGAAUCUGCCUGGUAGUGGGGGAUAACGUCCGGAAACGGGCGCUAAUACCGCAUACGUCCUGAGGGAGAAAGUGGGGGAUCUUCGGACCUCACGCUAUCAGAUGAGCCUAGGUCGGAUUAGCUAGUUGGUGGGGUAAAGGCCUACCAAGGCGACGAUCCGUAACUGAUCUGAGAGGAUGAUCAGUCACACUGGAACUGAGACACGGUCCAGACUCCUACGGGAGGCAGCAGUGGGGAAUAUUGGACAAUGGGCGAAAGCCUGAUCCAGCCAUGCCGCGUGUGUGAAGAAGGUCUUCGGAUUGUAAAGCACUUUAAGUUGGGAGGAAGGGCAGUAAGUUAAUACCUUGCUGUUUUGACGGUACCAACAGAAUAAGCACCGGCUAACUUCGUG
rnacentral:rRNA from 1 species